CUCGCUCCCAUUUGAAAGAAACCCGUGACGUCAUUCUUACGUCAUGAAACUCUGGCUUUAAAUCAGGGAGAAAUAUUAAAUCAGCCUUCACAAUUUAGCAACAGGUCGACAAUUGCGGAUCUAAAAGUUUCAGGUUGAAAUAAAAAUAUUCAUUAUGUCACCAGACAUCUGGAUAGUGAUACUGAUGUUUACUUGCUGUCAAUUACAUCGAGUACACUCUCGGCUACCAUACCACACUUUCCAGCUCUCUAAACGACCGAUGGAUGGCAGCUCCUUCGAAACAGACAACGUUCCCUAUUCAGCAACUUAUGACAGCCCUGGUUUGAUGAAUAAUUAUCUAACGUUUUUAAGUCAUUUGGCAAAGAAAGAUCUCUCCACGGAUGACCGGACAAUCCCGGAUGCUCGCAGUCCAAAAAGGGACAACCGAAAAUUCCAGACACAAGGAUGGCGCUGAAUUCGGACUGUUGUGAAUUUUUGCCUUUUAAAAUAUAUAUUCUGAAAAUGAAAUAUGGAAGCGAUCAAAAUAUAUCGCUACAUCUCUAUGCUACUAUGUUAAAAUAUUUCUAUAGGUACACAAAAAUGUAAAAGAAAGGAUUACUUAUAAAACACUAAUACAUUUUGAUUGACGUGCUUUUACUUGAAAUUUAAAUCUUGUUAUGAAUGCUUGUCAAGCAGAUCUUCAACAAGUGAAGACCAUUUAAUGGAAAUACUCUACCAUCUUUGGUUUUAAUUUUUAAAUUACCAGCUGCGGAUAAGACUUACGUUCUAAAAUCAGAAAUACAGAAACAUUAGUGGAUGGUUGUUAAGAUCAUACCUUAAAUCAGCAGAGGAAGACGGUAUAUAAUGAGAUCAUAGGUUAAAAUGGACAGGGGAGGACAAUUUGAAAACGUUAGAUUCCCGCUUGAUUUUGUGGUACACUCCCUCGGCAUCUUAGGCGGUAAAUUAAUUCACAAAAUACUGAUCUUUUACUUUUCAGGUAAUCUCUUCCCAUCAUCCAAAUAAUUAAAAUAAUACUUUGAUUAUUAUACUAUAAUCUCAAUAUCUAUCAAACUGAUGAGUUAGCUUAAUUUUUUUAAGACUCCACUAAAUAACAAUGUUCUUAUAAAUGCCUAUGGGAUAAAAAUAGCUGCCCGUCAGCGUGUUAACAUUUUGGAACUGCGUAUAAAAUUUCAUUUUUAAUUGUUUUACUUUAAGACGUUGGUAAUUUAAGAUGCUGUAUCUUUGAAUUAAGUAAUAUACGGAUAAUAGCUUUGCCAGAUUUUAUUAAAGAAAAAUUAAAAGAUUUUUCAUGUUAUAUUACAUGCUCAUUCCUUAAACAUGAAUGGAAGUUUUGAACAUUUAUUUCGAUGUGAAGCAUAUAAAUAUAGCAAUAUGGCGAGAAUUGAAGUAAAUGCGACUUAUAAAUAAAACAUACAAGUUAACAAAAUGAAUAAAAAUAUUUAGCCAUGUAACAUUUAAAAAUUAAAUUUUCUUUACUUUAA